CCCUGCCCUAGAAGUGUUGCAGGUGCGGCUGUUGUAUCACGAGUACAUCAAUAGGUGUUGGAGAGGAGAGGGACUAUGUCUACACUCAGUGUUCUGACCUGGGAAUCUGAAGGAUUACUAGCCUAACAUU